rnacentral:tRNA from 1 species
GGUAUAGCUCAACAGGUAGAGCACAUGCUCAAUACCCCAGAGGUCCCGGGUUCAAUCCCCGGUACC